AAACCAACAGGGAUUGCCUCAGUAACGGCGAGCGAAGCGGCAAAAGCUCAAAUUUGAAAUCUGGCGUCUUUCUUAGGCGUCCGAGUUGUAAUUUGAAGAUGGCAACUUUGGGAUUGGCUCUCGCAUAUGUUCCUUGGAACAGGACGUCAUAGAGGGUGAGAACCCCGUUCAUGGCGAGGUGACCCAAUCCUUUGUAAAGUGCUUUCUAAGAGUCGAGUUGUUUGGGAAUGCAGCUCUAAGUGGGUGGUAAAUUCCAUCUAAGGCUAAAUAUUGGCGAGAGACCGAUAGCGAACAAGUACAGUGAUGGAAAGAUGAAAAGAACUUUGAAAAGAGAGUGAAAAAGUACGUGAAAUUGUUGAAAGGGAAGGGCUUGAAAUCAGACUUGGUAUUCAGUGAUCAACUGUCUUUCGGGACUGUGCACUCGCUGUUUACUGGGCCAACAUCGGUUUAGAGGGUGAGAUAAAAGCUAGAGAAUGUGGCACUGCUUCGGUAGUGUGUUAUAGCUCUGGUCAAUAUCACCACUCUGGACCGAGGACUGCGCUUUAUGCUAGGAUGUUGGCGUAAUGAUUUUAAGCCAC
rnacentral:rRNA from 1 species